GGCUGCAGUCGAACGAAUCCCAGGGGCUGUAGCAAUACAGUCUUUGGGGGAAGUGGCGAAAGGGGCAGUAAUGCGUGGGUAACCUACCCCGGGGACCGGGAUAGCCAUCCUAACGGGUGGGUAAUACCGGGCGAUGUAGCGAGGGCACAUGUUCUUGCUACGAAACGAAUUUCGCCUCGGGAGGGGCUCACGUGAUAUUAGCUUGUUGGCGGGGUAACGGCCCACCAAGGCUGAGAUGUCUAGCGGGUGUGAGAGCACGACCCGCGCCACUGGCACUGAGACACUGGCCAGACUCCUACGGGAGGCUGCAGUCGAGGAUCUUCGGCAAUGGGCGCAAGCCUGACCGAGCGACGCCGCGUGCGCGAUGAAGGCCUUCGGGUUGUAAAGCGCUGUCGAGGGGGAGGAAAGCCCGCAAGGGUCUGACUAAUCCCUGGAGGAAGCACGGGCUAAGUUCGUGCCAGCAGCCGCGGUAAGACGAACCGUGCAAACGUUGUUCGGAAUCACUGGGCUUAAAGGGCGCGUAGGCGGCUUGCCAAGUCAGGGGUGAAAUCUUUCGGCUCAACCGGAAAAGUGCCUUUGAUACUGGCAGGCUUGAGGGAGGCAGGGGCAUGUGGAACUUCCGGUGGAGCGGUGAAAUGCGUUGAUAUCGGAAGGAACGCCGGUGGCGAAAGCGACGUGCUGGACCUUUUCUGACGCUGAGGCGCGAAAGCUAGGGUAGCGAACGGGAUUAGAUACCCCGGUAGUCCUAGCCCUAAACGAUGGGUACUAGGUAGUGGACUUAACAUGGGUUCCCUGCCGAAGCAAAAGUGUUAAGUACCCCGCCUGGGGAGUAUGGUCGCAAGGCUGAAACUCAAAGGAAUUGACGGGGGCUCACACAAGCGGUGGCAUGUGGCUU
rnacentral:rRNA from 1 species